rnacentral:lncRNA from 1 species
GCCACCGCCACCGCGGCUGCCUUUAUACCGCGGGCCCGGAGCAUUCCGGCCCCUUGGGAGGGAGACAACAAAGCCGGGAUGGGAUUUCAAAGCGCUGGGAGGGGCUGGGAGGGGGUGUGUUUGUGUACAUGAAGGGGGGCCUUUGACACUCUUCACCCCGCCCCUCCCUUGCUUAGUCGCUCGGCUGGCCCGGCUCACCUUCGGGGUGAAGGCUACCAGCGAGCGUUAUAGCAGACGACUUUAAUAAAUGCAGGCGGCAGCAGGAACUCUGGGAACUUGGGUGCCCUUGCCUGGCAGUAAGGGUUGAAUUAUCCGGAUCUGAAAUACUUUACAGAGCCGAGGGGUGAUAGGCUCUGCAAAAGCACUUUUUGCCCCUCUCCUUUAUGCCAAUACUCGCUGACUGUGCACACAAGUCAUAUUCAGUAUUAAAUACAAACCGGUCUGUAAUUCAAUGGCUCUAGCAAGACGCCUCUGAGAGGGCCAGGUGGCGGGUGCAAGUUGCUCAUUAACCCUUUAGAGUCGCAGUUUGCAGAUCUGAGUUAGAUCCCCGGCUUUGAGGUCCUUCAGUUGCCCUCCUCCCCCACCUCCCCCCGCCACUGCGAGAAAAAUGUGCAAAGAGAAGGAAAUUUGCACAUCAAACGAGGGGCAAUCGCGGCGGUAGAUGAACUUGAUUAGGCAGACGCGUGAGAUCAAAGUGGCCGGGACCAAAGCGGACAGGGUCCAACGUGCCAGCACUGCCAAGAGAAGGCCUUUUGUACUCAGGUUAAAUAAGAACAUCCUGCAAGGAGUCUGUUCUUUUAUGCAGCCUAAAGAUCAAGUAAUAAUCAUUGACACUGAUACUGAGCAUGUCGAUUUUGAAGAGACUAGCAUGAACCUUGAAGAAUCAUGUUCUUCCUAGGAAUUACAAAUCCCCCGAUUCCAUGUCUAACAUAAUUUCUACUGGCCUCUUUGCUUCUCAUGCUUUAGUACCAGUGCUUCUGAAUUUGAAAGUCUUCAUGCAAAUUGCCCAGGUUUGCUGGCAGCUGUGUCUCAGAAAAAGCUGUCUUCAGCAAGGCAGAAGCAGAGGAUCUUCUAGAAGAUUUGCACUAUCAGCUUGGUAUUCAGUUCUCUAGCUUGAAAUGAUUUCAGUGCCUGCUGGCAGUGCCUCCUAUAAAUAUUUAUUAAAAGCGGCAAGAUCACGGAGGUCUCUGGAGCGAAAUCACAGCCAGGUUUUAUGAAAACAGAUCCGAGAAGCUGAGA